rnacentral:rRNA from 1 species
AUUGAACGCUGGCGGCAGGCCUAACACAUGCAAGUCGAACGAGUGGCGGACGGGUGAGUAAUGUCUGGGAAACUGCCCGAUGGAGGGGGAUAACUACUGGAAACGGUAGCUAAUACCGCCUACCAUCGGAUGUGCCCCGAUUGGCUUAGCUUGUCGUGGAGGUACAGGCUCACCUAGGCGACGAUCCCUAGCUGGUCUGAGAGGAUGACCAGACACACUGUAACUGAGACACGGUCCAGACUCCGACGGGAGGCAGCAGUGGGGAAUAUUGCACAAUGGGCGCAAGCCUGAUGCAGCCAUGCCGAGUGUAUGAAGAAGGCCUUCGGGUUGUAAAGUACUUGCAGCGGGGAGGCGUUACCCGCAGAAGAAGCACCGGCUAACUCCGUGCCAGCAGCCGCGGUAAUUC